GGAUAAGCUUCGUAGUCGAGAGGGAAACAGCCCAGAUCAUCAGCUAAGGCCCCUAAGCGUACGCUAAGUGGGAAAGGAUGUGGAGUUACUGUGACAACCAGGAGGUUGGCUUAGAAGCAGCCAUCCUUGAAAGAGUGCGUAAUAGCUCACUGGUCGAGUGUUCCUGCGCGGACAAUGUAACGGGGCUCAAGUAUAAAACCGAAGUUGCGUCAUUAGGAUAAUUUAUUAUUACUGAUGGGUAGGGGAGCGUCGAGUUCGACUGUGAAGCCAGAUGAUAACGUCUGGUGGAGUGGACUCGAGUGAGAAUGCUGGCAUGAGUAGCGAACGAAGGGGGAGGAACCCUUCCUCCGAAUAUCCAAGGGUUCCUGGGCAAGGCUCAUCCGCCCAGGGUUAGUCGGGAGCUAAGGCGAGGCCGAAAGGCGUAGUCGAUGCACAACUGGUUGAUAUUCCAGUACCACCAUAUUCGCGCCCAGCCUAAGCUAAUUUGCUAAGUGGCUGUUAAUUUAUUAACGAAACGACCCAAUUAGUGCAUGGUAAUUGUAGGGGGACGCAGGAAGGUAGAUCUGACAGGUGAUGGUUAUCCUGGAAGUAAGUAAGUAGGGAGUGUGAUAGGAAAAUCCGUUGCACAUUAAUCCUGAGAUACGACACGUAGCCGAUUUAGGCGAUUUGAUUGAUCCUAUGCUGCCUAGAAAAGCCUAGCAAUGAGUUAAUAUGGUGCCCGUACCCCAAACCGACACAGGUAGAUAAGUAGAGAAUACUAAGGAGAGCGAGAUAACUCCGGUUAAGGAACUCGGCAAAAUGCCCCCGUAACUUCGGGAUAAGGGGGGCCUCAGUAAAGUGAUUGUCUUCGCGACAUGAGCUUGAGGAGGCCGCAGUGACUAGAGCCAAGCGACUGUUUACCAAAAACACAGGUGCAUGCGAAGCCGUAAGGCGAUGUAUAUGCACUGACGCCUGCCCAAUGCUGGAAGGUCACGGAGAGAGGUUAGCGCUUGUCGCGAAGCUUCGAACUUAAGCCCCAGUGAAAUUCCUUGUCGGGUAAGUUCCGACCUGCACGAAUGGCGUAACGACUUGGCUACUGUCUCAACCGGAGACUCGGCGAAAUUGCAAUACGAGUAAAGAUGCUCGUUUCCCGCACCAGGACGGUAAGACCCCGUGCACCUUUACUGCAACUUGAUGUUGGGUUUGGGUAUGAACUGUGUAGGAUAGCUGGGAGACUGCGAAGCAGAGGCGUCAGCUUUUGUGGAGUCAACCUUGAAAUACCAGCCUGUUCAUAUCGGAACCUCUCACCACAGGCCCUAGAUCGGGUCUUGGGACAGCGUCAGGUGGGUAGUUUGACUGGGGCGGUCGCCUCCUAAAGAGUAUCGGAGGCGUCCAAAGUUAUACUCAGCCUGGUUGGCAAUCAGGCGUCGAGCGCAAAAGUAUAAGUAUGAUUGACUGCAAGACCUACAAGUCAAGCAGGGACGAAAGUCGGGUUUAGUGACCCAGCGGCAGCUUGUGGAAGCGCCGUUGAUUAACGGAUAAAAGGUACGCCGGGGAUAACAGGCUCAUUUUGCCCAAUAGUUCACAUAGACGGCAAAGUUUGGCACCUCGAUGUCGGCUCGUCGCAUCCUGGGGGUGUAGCCACUCCCAAGGGUUGGGCUGUUCGCCCAUUAAAGCGGUACGCGAGCUGGGUUCAGAACGUCGCGAGACAGUUCGGUCCCUAUCCGGUGUGGGCGUAAGAGAUUUGAGGAAAUCUGUUCCUAGUACGAGAGGACCGGAAUGGACGUGGCUCUCGUGUGACAGUUGUCCUGCCAAGGGCAUGGCUGUUUAGCGACCCACGGAAAAGAUAAACGCUGAAAGCAUCUAAGCGUGAAACUUGUUCCAAGAUGAGAUCUCUCAUGUGGUUAACACAGUAAGACCCCUUAUAGACCAUGAGGUUGAUAGGCCAGAAGUGUACGGACAGUAAUGUCUUUAGCUGACUGGUACUAAUCGGUCGAGGUCUUGAGUA
rnacentral:rRNA from 1 species